rnacentral:rRNA from 1 species
GGCCGGAAGGCUGAACCAGCCAAGCCGCGUGAAGGACGAAGGUGCCAAGCAUUGUAAACUUCUUUUGUCAAGGGACAAAAUCAGGCUCGAGAGCCUGACCGAGGGUACUUGAAGAAAAGCAUCGGCUAACUCCGUGCC